AUUCCUACCUGAUCCGAGGUCAACAUUCAGAAGUUGGGGUUUAACGGCGUGGCCGCGACGAUUACCAGUAACGAUGUGUAAAUUACUACGCUAUGGAAGCUCGACGUGACCGCCAAUGUAUUUGGGGAGUGCAGCAGGACUGCAGCUCCCAACACCAAGCUGGGCUUGAGGGUUGAAAUGACGCUCGAACAGGCAUGCCCGCCAGAAUACUGGCGGGCGCAAUGUGCGUUCAAAGAUUCGAUGAUUCACUGAAUUCUGCAAUUCACAUUACUUAUCGCAUUUUGCUGCGUUCUUCAUCGAUGCCAGAACCAAGAGAUCCGUUGUUGAAAGUUUUGAUUUAUUUGUUUUUUAUACUCAGAAGUUCCACUAAAAACAGAGUUUAGGGUUCCUGCGGCGGGCCGUCCCUUUUUACGGGGCGCGGGCUGAUCCGCCGAGGCAACAUAAGGUAUGUUCACAGGGGUUUGGGAGUUGUAAACUCGGUAAUGAUCCCUCCGCAGGUUCACCUACGGAGACCUUGUUACGACUUUUACUUCCUCUAAAUGACCGAGUUUGGAGAGCUUUCCGGCCCUGAGCGGUAGUUGCCCACCACUCUGGGCCAGUCCGGACGCCUCACUGAGCCAUUCAAUCGGUAGUAGCG
rnacentral:misc_RNA from 1 species